rnacentral:rRNA from 1 species
GUGAGGAAUAUUGGUCAAUGGACGGAAGUCUGAACCAGCCAAGUAGCGUGCAGGAUGACGGCCCUAUGGGUUGUAAACUGCUUUUAUGCGGGGGUAAAGUGAGUGACGUGUCAUUCAUUGCAAGUACCGCAAGAAUAAGGACCGGCUAAUUCCGUGCCAGCAGCCGCGGUAAUACGGAAGGUCCUGGUGUUAUCCGGAUUUAUUGGGUUUAAAGGGAGCGGAGGCCGUCAGGCAAGCGUGGUGUGAAAUGUCGUGGCUCAACCAUGGACUUGCAGCGCGAACUGCCCGACGUGAGUGCGCACAAAGCAGGCGGAAUUUGUGGUGUAGCGGUGAAAUGCUUAGAUAUCACGAAGAACCCCGAUUGCGAAGGCAGCCUCCGGUAGCGCUACUGACGCUGAAGCUCGAAAGUGCGCGUAUCGAACAGGAUUAGAAACCCCGGUAGGCC